rnacentral:sRNA from 2 species
GACUUUCUCCAGCUGGCCCCAUCAGGGGAAACCUCUCUCCGUAGUUUGUUGAAUCAAGGUACCAGAGUUUAUAGUACUAAAAUAUUUCCCUGCUGAUAUAAGAAAUCUCUUUCAUCAGAAACCUCUCCUUUCAUCAGGCGGGCAUGUCGAAACGACCCUGUAAUAACAAUGGCUGGAUUGGACGUAUCUCUACGACAACAGGGUCAGACAUCUAGAGUAGUGUCUGAGCAGGGUUGGAAAUGGGCCCUUGACAGUGUGAAGGUGCUGUUGCCUUCUUAUCAAUUGUUCUUUUUUUUGCCUGUGGAUUGAACUGUCCAAAUAUAUUUCCUAUCACAUAUUUUUAAUUUUUACAACUAAGAAUAAAACUACAUAGCUGGAAAGAUCCGAAGUUUAGAUUAUAUAUAUGAUAAUCCAGUAACAGCAACUCGUACUGAAUUACACAUCAACCAGCAAUUGGGUUUCAGAAAACAUCAUUUUGUCUUCCGCGUCUGAUUUUUAUCUCACAGACAGCCACAGCAAAGUAUGAAAUAAUAAUAGACCUCUGGGCAGGAAUGAUAGGCACUGGAAUGAAAUAUGAUC